rnacentral:lncRNA from 1 species
AAAAAAAAAAAAGCCUGUUGCAUUUCAUUUUUUUAUCCCAUCCCAUUAUAGAAACAAAAACUGCAGUUGGCUUCAGUCAGUGUGCUAAAUAAAACUUGGCAUAUAAAUAUUACAAGAUAAUCAGUUUCACUUUUUUAAUUUUCAAAGUCUACGGCUAUGGGAGUUCAUUUCCAAAAGGUAAGUGAGGAAUGGGAAAUGAAGAGCCAAUCGAUCUUUAAUUAUCCAUUAUCACUAAAUUCUUUCCAUAUCUAUUUUAGAUAUUUUGGUAGAGGUACGGCAAAGGGAAUAUGUGGGUUAAUAUUGCUCUUUUUUUUUCUUUUAUAUUGUAAGCUUGUUUGGACUCUCUAUCUACUAAUCUAUUAUGUCAGUCAUGUUUAGUUAAAAUUAAGUGUUUGUCUUAUUUUGGCGCUAUAUAAAUAAUUGUCAUUUUCUUAUUUAUAAUCACUUAAGGAAAGCAUUAUUUUUCAAUUCUUUAUUUAUUUUGAGGAACCAACAAAAUACGCAUUAAAAAAUGAAAAAAAACAUUAAAUUGACAUAUGUACGCAUAUUCUCUAGUACCCGAGAGCUUUAUCAUCCAGCAGUCCUCGAGUUUAUCCUUAAAAAAAACAAAAAACACAGAGACAGAAAAAAAAAUGAUUAUAAUAAUAAACACAACAUAAAUAAGUAAAUACAUUUUACCAUGGCUUACAUAUAUAUAUACCUUCACUCAUAUCCCAUUUUUCAUAUAAGCCUUCCAUGGAUUCCAAAAAUAAAAUAAGUUUAUUGUAUUGUUAUACAGUCAGAGGAGAGAAAAGCCAAAGACAAAUACCAGAACGUACAUGCGCAUUGAUAUUGGGAGGAUGGCACGAAAAAUGCAUAAUAUUUUUGGUGAAUGGAUCUUCAGCUCACGGGUGUUUCAGUAUAGCACCCAGCUUCUGAUCCAAGAAUGAUGCGGAGUCUGAUGGACAUUGCAGGAAAAUAAAGGUAUUUAUAGGGUUUGGCAGCGCCCAGCAUCAAAAUUGACUCCACAAUGAUGCUGGGUCAGACGGAUGGCACAGAACUAAACAGAUACUGUUACAGUGAGAAUAUAAUCUGUACAGAGGUGAGAAUGAUUUCAGGGAUUCCAAUACUAUAGUGUAAUAGUAAUUAAAUGCAUGACAUUCAAAAGCAACUGACUGAGUAGGUUAAACAUGAUUAGGAAACAUAGUGGAAGGACAAGUUGCCCAAGGUGCAAAAGAAAUUAAAUAAAUUCUUAAGCGAUUGGCUUCACUGAAGAAAAUGUAGUUUUCAUGACCUGUGUGACGAAGUGCCCUUCGCCACUUGUGCCUGGAGAGGACUGCUUGCCAGCCUCCUGCCAUGUGACUAUGGCCCCUGGGAUGUAUUGCCCUUUAAAGACAUGAUUUGGGCAUAAUGGAUUUGUGUUGUGCUGCUGCUGGCCCUUUAAGAACCAUCUGGGGACAUACUGUAGAGUUACUGGGUGGCCACCAUUUCCUGUAUCAGAAGCACAUGGUGAGAACAAUGGAUGGCGGCCAUUUUAACUCACAGACACUGUUUGGACUUUUCAACACGGUGCCAUCUCGCCAGUAUUUGUUAUACAGAGACAUCGUGCGGUGGUUUUGGACUAUACAGCAGGGGACACAUUAUACAGUGAUUGUUUUUCAUUUAGCCUGUAUAUGUUCUGCAGAAUCUGCAUUAAACUGUAUUUUCCAAAGUACCCCACUUUUUAUGGGGUUAUUGCAUGUUUUGGGGUCCCUGUGAUGUAUAUUUUAGAAGUUAUGAAUGCUGUAAAAAUUGUAAUGUUUCUGGCCAGCAGAUAAUUGAGCUUUGUGUAUUGUAGAAACUCAAUUAUCUAGCCUGGCUCAGAGGAGGAGUUUUGUGUUGCAUAAAUUGUGAGUUCUGUGUGCCAGUAAAUCAGUCUUGUUCCAGCAUUAAGCCUUGGCUCAUGUUUGGGGGAUUGGAGAAAUACACUCUGGGGAUUGCUAUAAUCACUAUACUCCCCAGGGUAUGAUCACUAAGUUCUGCUAAGAGCUUGUUCCUGCUCUCUGGGGAAAGAGAGGUUCACCCACUGGAAGCUGGAUCCUGGCCUUGGGUCCAGGGUGGGUGGAGACAGCAGAGACCCCAGCGCAGCUGCAUCGCUGGAAGUGGGGUCUGCAGUGCUGAUGGUGUCGGUUGGAGUGCUUGGAGUCCUCGGCAAGCGCUAGGAGCAUCGAUUGGCGGAGGUACUCAGUCGGAGUGCCAGCGGUCCGUCACAACCCUAUAUUCUCUUAAUGAACUAGAGACCAGGGGAAUUCAUGAUGGGGUGAGGAAGGACAUAUGUUAUGGAUAUGGCUACCAUAAAGUAGUUCUGAAGGUAAGUUGGGUGAUGGAGUGAGAAACCACAAGCUUGUGUGCGUCAUUUGCAAGACAUGAUGAUGCUGGAGGGCGCGCCACACCGAAACAGGGUGGGUGUUCCUUCCUAUAUUGUCAUGGGCCAUUAAGCCACUGUAUCAAGAUUGCGUCAUCGUGCCUGUACGUGAUUAUGCCGGAGGAAUGGUAUAAAUUUGAAUGCAUCUCUCCAUUAUGCCAGGAUCUUUGAAAAAAUAGAGUCAUCCCGAGCACCCAGCCUCAGUCUGGACCCUCACAAGAAUCCCCUGGAAGAAAAGCACAUCUUAAAACUAUUUCAGAGAUCUGCUGAAUCUAGGAGGUUAACACAUUCAUCUCAACUCUAAAACAGUUAUGGUUCCCACAUAUGGGGUGAGAUCAAUGCUAUCACAAUUCUCUGUUGUUUUUGAUUAUAACUAAAGGACUAUAUUUGUGACUUUAGAACUUUUCAAGAAGUUCUCUUGAUACAUUCUCUAAAUAAGAUUUAAUUUUAUUAUUUAUUUAACUCUUUUUUUGGGGGGGGGACAAACUCAUGCUAGUGACUUAAAUGCUGGUGACUUCAUAUAAUGCUGCAAUUAUUAUGAAGCAUGUAACUUGUUUUUGCAAGCUGGCAAUAUCUAUUGCUUGUUACCACAGCUUUCUUAUUUUUCAUUUUUAUUUUUUUGGAUUUUUUAUUGUCUAAUUUUUUUCAUUAUCUGGAAUAUAACUUUAAGAACUAAUUCAAGAGAAUAAGGAUGUUCAAAUGACAUACAAUAUGUAGGAACACCUUUACAGUGAAUCUACCUUCAAGAAGGGGACUCUCAUAUAGGAUUCAAUAGCAAUGCUCUGUUGAUGCUGUUCUGUAAUAUGAAUUGCUUUUAUACUAUGUACCUAACUAUAUGUGUUCUAUGCAGUUUACUUUACAUAUACAUUGAUCCAUGAGGAUCCAUAUUUUGGGGGUUUUCAGCAUUCUCAUUCCUAAAAAUAUUUUUAAUGUUUUAAAAUGUUUAAAAAAUGUUUACACACCACGUAUCUUGGUGAUGGAUCCACAUAUCGUGGCCUUUAAAUGAUUAGCCUGUAAUUUACAUGUGUUUUGUUUGGGAAAGCAAGAGCUCAGGCUGAGGCAUGGAGCUCAGAGAUGGAGCAUAACUGACAUAGUGUAAGGAAGUGUUUGUGUCUCAAAGUGAGAGAGUGAGUAUGACUAAAGAAUAGUAUAAAAGAAUAGACAAAUUGAUAGGGAGAGGAGAUGGGAGUGAGGGAGUGGGAGAUACAGUCCAGCUCAAUACACUUUACCACCAGUGUUUAUCUCCUUCUCCAACAGACAUCUGGACCAACUGGUUCAGAAUCAGAGGAUGAUUGUCAAUGCAUAUUGGAUACAUACACCAGCAAGCCUCAAUUACUCAAUGAAGAAACCUGGUGAGAAGAAUAAAUGAUGUGACCAGCAUGAGAUUUACUGACACACCUAGCCAGCAGUGUUCAGGACUUCAUCCACUAACACAAGCUACAGACUUUAUGACAGGGUUCCACUUACUGCAGUCCAUCAAUCAUAACAUAUUCUGAGACAGCCACUAAUGUCCAGUCUGUAGUUUGAAAGACUAUAGACUGUGGGCCAUGGCCUAAGACCCAUCCCUGCCCCUUCUGCCAAAGCAGUAUAUCUCACAGAUGCUCCAAAUAAAAUUGUUUAUUAAAGACUUAGUUCUCUGUGUGAUUGAUAUACUUAUUCGCUUAAUCAGUUAUGCACAUGGUAUUAUAUUUGCUUUUUUAGAUUUUUCUUGCUUCAAUCUCACAUAACCCUCAAAUAUUGAUGUGAUCCUUAAGGUCACUCUAUUAUUAUAGCAAGUACCUAUUUUGUGCUUUUGUAGACAGUGGGAGUUUGUAUUACAAUUGUUUAUAGAGCGCAAAAAUAUUCCACUGUGCUGCACAAUACAAAAACCAAGACAAUUCAUUCUGACAAGUUUCACAUACGGGACCGAUAGAUGAAGAGAGCCCUGCCCAAAAGAGCAUAACAAGCAACAGGAAAGGUAGUUGUCAUAAAUAACAUGCAUGCAGACAUUAAUAAGAUUUUAUUUUUUAUGCUAUAAUGCUAUUAACCAUUUUGGUAAUAACACAUGGUUUUCCAUCAUUAAUAUUACACACACCAACUUCCUUAAUGAAAUACUCAUGGGUUUAAUUUGUUAGGGCCCACGGCCAGGGCAGGCAAAGGGUAAUGAUCCAUGUUUUGUAAAACUACACCUCUCAUAAUUCUCAAAACUACACCUCUCAUGAUGUGAAAAGCAUAAUGGAAGGCCUGUUUGACAAAAAAAAAAGAGCUGACCACUUUAGUCCAUGUGGUAUAGUGACCGAUACAGUGAAACUGACUUAAUAAACUACUAUGCAAUUUAUGUAAUGAGUGUUUUAAUAAAUUUUUUUAAAAAUAUUACUUUUAACAUGGUGAAAUUGAUAACAUUUUCACGUGAUGAUUAUUUAAGAAUAGCCUGCACCAAUCCCAUGCAUUUAUGUAAUAAUCUGGACCAAAUGCAUUUAUUUUCCGCAUACCUUAUCGCAGACAUCUCAGUGGCAACAUUUUUUUCAUCUACAAUAGCUAGGAUAAAAAAAAAAAAUAUUGAUUAACGAAUAAUUAUUUUAUGCCAACAAGGAUUUUAGUGAAGGAAAUAACAUUUUGUUACAUUCUUUAGAGUAAAUUAUGUUACAUUCAGUCAAGUAAACUUGUGGGUUUAUUCACUUAACAAUUAACUAUAGCCAAUUAAAUUCUAAAAUGUAAGUAAUAAUUAUAUGACUAUGGUUGACUUAUAGGAAUUUUGUGAAUCAGUUACUUCUUCAAAUUGUACUGAAUAAAAAUCUGAGCCACAAGAUUUUGGCCAAAUUGGGUAAACUUAGGUAAAAUUAUAUUAUUCAGUAAUUGUCACACCUCAGCUGUGUUAGCUUGAAUGUUGCCAUUCACAUUUUAUUCACUACAGUUCAGUGAGUUUGGUGAACAACCCUGUAAGCACUUUAUCAAAGUAUAUUCAUUCCAUAGCCUGCAGUGCUUAGAGUUCCCUGUCACUUUGUCUCAGCGUGGUUUAUAACUCAUAUUUGCAAACAUCACUUCAAAUCCUACUCACUUCAAAGGGGGAAAUGUACCUCCACAUUGGCCACAUUGGCCUUCCAAGAUGUUUGCAGUCUUUGCAUACCAUGCAUUUCAAUCCUCUCCCCAGAGACCGUGAACUGUGACCAUAGACAUUGCUGGAGUUAGGGGGUAUUGAGGGCUGAGGCCCCGGAUGUGGGACUCAACAGCCUCAGAUCUCUACAGGUAGUGGAGGGUCAAAGAACCCAUUUUAAAAUUUUGCUCAAAGCAGUUAUAGCUAGUGCUAUAGCGCUAGGCUACCAAGGGAGGGGGUUCUGAGGAAUAAAACUUUGCUGCACGCCCCUCUAUUAGUUAGGGAGUAUGGCAAGACCGCACUAGAUACCAUGCUGUGCAGCGUGUGCUUGUUUUCAGCUAUGACUUAAUUGAUAUCCUGAGAGCAUAAGCAGCCCGCUGUUCAUGGGUCUACUGAAGAAACUGUAAUUUGCUGGAAAUUCCACUUUAUUCUUAUAGAGCAUUUGUGUUAAUGUUUCAAUAUAAAAGACACAAUUUCACACAAUGUCAUUUUCUUUAUGUGCAGGUAAAUAAAGAAUACUUUGAUAUCCUGGAUUUGACAAAUUAUUCUAACAACAGUGUGAAAGAGUUUAUCAUCUCUGGAUUCCCAAGGCUUCAAAGAUUUUCGCUUUUGCUCUUUUUCAUAUUUAUGGUAAUUUAUCUUUUCACAAUAACUGGCAAUGGCCUCAUAUUCUUCUUUAUUAAUCUCGAUCGAAAGUUACAGACCCCUAUGUAUUUUUUUGUCAGCAAUUUAUCUUUCUUGGAUAUGAGUUACACCUCAGUUACCAUACCCAGGAUGUUAGUUAAGUUCUCGAUUGGCUUUGAAAUUAUUUCCUACUCUGG